GUCUACGGCCAUGCCACUCUGAACAAGCCCGAUCCUGUCUGAUCUCGGAAGAUAAGCAGGGUUGGACCUGGUUAGUACUUGGAUGGGAGACCACCUAGGAAGACCAGGUGCUGUAGGAG
rnacentral:rRNA from 1 species